CCUGGUGGUCAGAGAGAGGAUGAAACACCCGAUCCCAUUCCGAACUCGGCCGUGAAAAGCCUCAUCGCCAAUGGUACUGUGUCUUAAGACCCGGGAGAGUAGGACGCUGCCAGGU
rnacentral:rRNA from 1 species